rnacentral:tRNA from 1 species
CCGUCGGCAGCUCAGUUUGUAGAGCGGUGGACUGUAGAUCCAUAGGUCGCUGGUUCGAAUCCGGCUCGACGGA